CCUGAUCCAAGGGCCCCUUGCCCCACCAGCGUCGGGUCAGGCCAUCCGGGCUCUGCCCUCCCCUCCCCCUGCAUGCAUGAAUCUUGGCCUGUGGGGCUGCGUGCAUGUGUGAGCGUGCAUACCCGCGGGGCCUUUCUCUUUUUCCCUUUUGUUCUGCUCUGACCUCUACCUGGUACCGCCAGGGCUGAGGGUGCAGGAGCUUCCUGCAGCUUUGGCCGGGCAAGGUGUGCAGCUGGGCUCUGCCUCCUUAACUCUGCAUCAGCGCUCUCUCUCUCUCUCUCUCUCUCUCUCUCUCUCUCUCUCUCUCUCUCUCUCUCUCUCUCCUCUCUCUUCUUCUCUCCCCUCCCUUCCCUUCCCCUCCCCUCCCCUCUCCCUCUUCCUCCUUCUCUCUCAAGAUUUCCCUGCUGCUAAGUCUGCGCUGCUGCAGGAGGGCUGGGGGAAGGGCAGGGGUGCGGAGUCGGGGUGCCUGGUGUCUUCUUUCUCUCUCUGCCCCCACCCCCCCACCAAGUGCGGACGCAACGGGAGCUCCGGCCCGCCCCCACCCCUGCAUUUGCGAUUGGCUCCGGGAGGAGGUGGCUGCCGCUGCCGCUGCUGCAGCAUCUCCCGGGGAGCCGCGACCCUGCGCCCGCCGCCACUGCUGCCGCGGUCACCAGCCCAGCCCGAGGGGCGCCCAGGGCUCCCUGGCACUGGGACGGCCCUGCAGCCCCACACCAGAACCGACCCCAGCCAGACCCUCUGUGUUUGCACCAGCCCAGCUCCUCCUGCAGUGGGUAUCUUCCGCCCUCUCUGUAGGUAGACACCAGCAGGGACACCUGUUCCAGGGUUCGAGCACCUUACCCGCAGGCUCACCUUGGGUGAUGAAAGAGGCACUGAGGCCUCCUCUCAGGGACUCUCAUUUUGGGAAAGAGAAUUCAUCAGGGUCCUUCCAGGGAAGCCAUCAUCUGCCCAGGGAGGGAUGAGAAUAUGGGUACUAAGGGAGGGUCUGAAUGGCCAGUGCCAUGGGUAAUAGGGAUCACAAUCAGAUGCAGCGAUGACACUCUUGGACGGAGAGUUGACCCCAGUCUCA